UGUACAUUUGUUCAGCUCAGUAGUCAUGUCAUAUUCUUUAUGGUGUACCUGCAGUGUUCUUUAAAAUACAUUUCCUCAUUGACAGUCAUCUGCCUACACAUGUGUAUAUAGUUAACUAAUCAGUGCUUUUUCAUGAUAUAGUCUAUUGGGGUUAGAAAUUAGAUUUUAUGACUUGUUGACAAAUCUAUCAUAAAAAAAAAUAUGUGUCCUGACUCUGACACUGCUUUCAAGUAGCUGGUGUUUCCUGUUCUGACAACCUGUAGAAAAAAGUGACUUUAAUAUGCAGAAUUUUGAAUAUAAAUGACUUUUUUAAUUAUAUCAUAGCAGAGAUAAUGGUCCUGGGCAAGCUGCUCUAGGUGGCCCUUCUUGAGCAAGGGAUUGGACAAGAUGACCUCCAGUGGUCCCUUCCAGCCAUUCUGUGAUUCUGUGAGAAAACUUCUGUCACCUCGCAAUCUAGAAUCUUGACAGUUUUCAAACACAAUUAUGCAUUUACAUGUUGAUGCUGCAAGAGCUGAAGAAGAAAUCUUCUGCAGAUUCAUGCAGGUGUAUAUACACACACUCACACCCUCUACUUCAUGGAGAGGAAGAACACAUUUAAACAGGAAAGGAAUAUUGUCAGGCAUUGCAAGAGUGUUCCAGUUCCCUGACAGUAACUCUAGGAUUUCAGCACACCUGCCUAUGGAGAGGCUCCUACUGCAGCUUCUGAAGCCACACGACUUGCAGUCAGAGAACUCCAGCAUGUAAGCAUUAACCUUCUGUUUUCAUAGAUUACCCAGCAAUGUCUGGACACAUAAUUACUUAUUGCUGGGCAUUGUAUUCCUGCAUUCCCUAUGGAUCCUACAAACUACUUAGUUUUCUUGCAGGCACUGGUGGUUCUGCUGACAUCAACUAGAGCCAGGUGAAAAUGAAUUUAUUGUUAAAAAGUGAUGAGGAAACUGAUUGGGCUUUUUUCUGAAGAUGGAGGCAGGUCAGCCCAAUGAAACCUUUCCAAAUAAAUUUUCAAAAAAAAAAUCGGAAGCA
rnacentral:lncRNA from 1 species